rnacentral:tRNA from 1 species
GCUGGUUUGGCUCAGUAGAUAGAGCAUUUGGCUACAGACCAAAGGGUCCCAGGUUCAAUUCCAGUCAAGGGCA